ACUCCUACGGGAGGCAGCAGUAGGGAAUAUUGGUCAAUGGGCGAAAGCCUGAACCAGCCAUGCCGCGUGUCAGAUGAAGGUCCUCUGGAUUGUAAAUGACUUUUCUACGGGAAGAAUGAGCCGUCUGCGGACGGAAGUUGACGGUACCGUAGGAAUAAGCACCGGCUAACUACGUGCCAGCAGCCGCGGUAAUACGUAGGGGUGCAAGCGUUGUCCGGAUUUACUGGGGUUUAAAGGGUACGUAGGCGGUUGUGCCAAGUCUGGGGUGAAAGUUUGCAGCUCAACUGUAAAGUUGCCUUGGAUACUGGUCGGCUAGAGUAGUGGAGCGGUGGCUGGAAUUUAUAGUGUAGCGGUGAAAUGCUUAGAUACUAUGAGGAACACCAAUUGCGAAGGCAGGUCACUGGUCACUAACUGACGCUGAGGUACGAAAGUGUGGGGAUCAAACAGGAUUAGAUACCCUGGUAGGAUAGCG
rnacentral:rRNA from 1 species